CUCUCAGAAGCUUGCUGCCAUGUUAUAAAGAAGCUCAGAUGGAUCACUGGAUGAUGAGAAGCCUCAAGGAGAGAUGCCCUAAAGGAUGAGAGGCCAUCUUGAAAGUUCCAGCCCCUGCAGAGCUCCUACCUUAAUGCAGCCACACAAGUGACCACAGCUAUUCCACAAGGAGCAGAACCCAACCAACCCACAAAACUGAGAAAAAUAAUACCUUGUUGUGUUAAGUCACUAAGUUUGAGUGGCUUGUGAUACUGCAAGAGAACUGAAGCAGACCUCUUCAGACAGAUUAAAAUGGGGGACCCUGGCUAUUGCUGGGCUCCUCUGGGAAGAGUCUCCUAAAGAGAUGUCUUAGGCCCCUUUGCCCAAAUGGCUGCAGAGGGUGAGUACUGAUGGCUCUCCCACUCCCCACCUCCCUUCUUUCUAAUUUUUUCCUUCACCAUCCCUUCCAUGGCCUGUAUCUGUGCCUGGUUUUCCUCACCUCUUUCCUGCUCUUUCACUUCGAUAGCUGUGGGGAGCCCUCAAGGCUACAGAAACUUCAGAAACCUGGUUCAGGAUAUGCAUCAUUGCCUACUCCCCCCAUUUCUUUUGUCCCCUGUCCUAGCACUGGAGCAAAAUUAGGUCUCCUUUGUAUUUUUUUAAUGAACAGGUUUAGCCACUGUUAGCUGGCUAUUACAUUGGACUGAAAAUGCUGUUUGUGAGCCAUUGUCAACAGAGACUGGGACCAACACUGACACCUCCUUAAUUAUGUGCCAUUAAUGAUAUACACACUGCAGUUAAGGGAACAUUGCAGAUCCAUUUUCUUGCUUUAAUUCAGUGCUGUGUUGUAUGAAAUGCUAAUGAGUCCAGAAUUCUCAAAGGUCAUAAUCUGAAUACAUUUUCUUUUCUUCUUUUUAGGGCAAUAGGGAUAGAAUUCAAAACAAUUAAAAUGAAAUUUACUUCAUCAUUUGGCUAACAACAUCCUUGACUGUACUAAUUACACUGAGGGAUGUAUUCAUUCACUGGUCAUUUGGGCAGAUCUGAGUGUGCUUGAUUUCUUUUAAGGUCUGCAGCUCUGAAUUCUACACAGGAUUUUCUUUUUUAGCUGCUCACCCCAUUGGUUAUGAGACAUAACUGGGGAAAAAAAGUCCAUCUAAACCCUUAGAAUAUGGAAAGUGCAAAUUUAGCAGAACCAGCAUAGAAUUUUCCAGGGAGUCAUUUAUCAUCCUUAGAAAGUUUUGGUUCUUUGCAAAUAAAAAAAGAGAAAAGAAAGGUAAUUGCCAUGCUCAGCUAAUUGACAGAAUUGUGUCAGAAAAAGGAGGCAUUUCAACACUGCCUCCGAUGAUGACAUUUGAAGGUUGUUCCCAUUCUCUCUUCACUGCUAAAUUAGGUAAUCAUUAUUUCCCUGUGAAUCUUAUUAAUCUAAUGGUUGCUUCUCUCCCCUAGCCCCCCUCAGUUGGUUUUGAGACUCAGACAGAAAUGUGAAAAUGAAAUGCUGAAGGUCAGAAAAUAGUUUGGUCAGUUGAAUUUGUAUUCUCCAGUUUUGUGGUUCAGAUCUGAAGUAGGAGAGGACAAGAGGGAAUAAGUUUAAAUUGCAGUCAGGGGAAUUCAAGUCAUCUGUUAAAAAGGACCAUCUCAUUAUAUGAAUGAAACCCAGAAGGUUUGAAAUCUCUGCUGGUGGAUUUUAAGAACAGGUUAUUCCACUGACGUGCUGGGAUAGUGGAAACCAAGAAGCUAGAAAAAAGCCCAGAACAGUGAUUCUCAGGCUUUUCUCUUUUUGGAUGGCUUUAGUGGGCACAAGAACUGCACUGGGUACUCAGGGGUAAUGGCAAUCUCUGAGUUUUCCCUGUAAAAAAUAGUGCUCAUCAGAUGUAGGGCUUCUAAUAUGGUUUCUGAUGAGACAUUAAUGAGAUAAUGACUGGUUUAAGAAAACUGAUGCUUGGUUUUCAUUAGACAUUAUAACCAAAAUACCAAUUUGUGUUUGAAACAGAUAGUGUAGGCAGUCUGUUGGCAAAACCAGCGCUUCCUCGGUAGGACAGAUUGACAGCAGCCCUUAAUGACACUUGGAAAAUAGCUGAAUGUCCUGUGUUGGUAAAGGCAAAAUGUGAAGGAUCUGCACACUAAUGGUGGCUGUCUUGGUCUGUUUUGUGCUUUUAUAACAGAAUGCCACAGACUGGAUAAUUUAUAAUGAAAGAAAUUUAUUGGCUCAACAUUCUAGAGGCUGGGAAGUUCAAGGUUGAGUUUCCAGCAUCUAGCAAGGGUCUGCUUGUUGUGUCAUAAUGUGGUAGAAGGCAUCUCAUGGCAGAAGAGCAAAGAAAGAGAGAGGAAGAGAGAGAGCAGGAGAUGGAGAGGAAGGGUGGGAGAAAGAAAGAGAUAAAGGGGGCUGAGCUUGUCCUUUUAUAAGGCAUGCACUCCAACAAUAAUGAAUCCACUCCUAUGAUAAUGGCAUUAACCCAUUCAUAAGGGUAGAACCCUCCUGGCCUAAUCAGCUCUUAAAGGCCUCACCUCUGAAUACUGUUAUAAUGGCAAUUAAAUUUCAACAUGAGUUUGGGAGGGGACACACAUUCAAAUCAUAGUGGUGGCAUAUUGGUGACAAAUUCUAUCCCCCUGUUAUUGCUGAGCAGGCUUAGGCAAGACCGCCUCAGUCUGCCUUGAUGAUCUUUCUGCCCCUCGGAAUGUUCUUACCCAUCCCAUCCCCAUGUCCUCUCUCCUCCCUACCUUGUCAGUCAGUGCUCCUCAGGGCAGCCAGUAGGGACAGUAGCUGCCCGACCUGAGGUGGAGAGGCUGAAUGUAUGGGACAAAUGCAUUCUGGGACAUUUCCUGCCUCCUCUUCCUUCUAGGUCUCCAAAUUCCCCAUAACAAACAGGAAUUGAGUAGAUUGAGAGUGAAUCUCUGUGGCAUCACGACAAAUCUGGAAAAUACUGUUUAAAAAAUAUAUUACCUGGAUUGACCUCUUAGAUGUUCUUAAUAUUUUGGGCCAGUGGUUCUGGAAACUCUUAAUUAUUUCAUUUAAUCAUCUUAAUUUAGUUAACAGUAUUUACUAUUUUAAACAAAAGCCUUUAUGAAAGAGAGUCUAGCCUUUUCCCCUGGACCCAGAGAGACAAAAAUAUCAUGUUUUCCUCUGGCAAGUCAGUCAAAAUCAAAUCUUGUAUCAAUGAACAGAUUUCAGAGCCUCUGAUUUCCACUUCUAGAAGAAGUGAUCUAUGAGAGUGUCCUUAUUCAGAAACAAGGUAAAAUGAUUCAUGUUUAUAUGAAACAAUCUAGUAAAUUGUAUGGAUGCUUUCUUCAUUUUGUUUUACGAUAAAAUUAAGUCAUUUUCUCCCCUUCAUAAGACAUUUUGCUUUGUAGCUUCAAUCGUCAUAGUGAAGUUCAAUGAACAACAUCAAAAAUGAUCAUCAUUUGGAAAAAAAUCAUCAUUUGUAAAUGUUCAUUAGCCAAACUAUUGUUCCCAGAAGGAAGAUUUAAACAUAUUUUUUCUUUCUCUUUCUUUUCCUGUCACAUCUUUUGUGCUCCUUGGUGUAGAUUUCGAAUUUGGUGAAAACCCAUCACCUUCUAAGUUAUCAUGAAAUAAAAAGCCAGAACAAUGUACAACAUCGAGCAGUCAGGUGCACCAGUUGCAUUUUCCUUGGUUGUGAGUUACUUGAUCCUUUGCUAUCUCUGUGGCUGGGGAAAUUGCACCUUGAAGGUUUGUGGGUUAGCUGCAAAAGGUGGCGGAAAAGUUUUACUUUUAUUCCUUCAGGUUUCCUUGUGGUAUGACUUUCACACUUAUGGACCACGCCCACCAGAGACCUUGUAUGCAUUAAUCACGGGGUGAGUCUCUUAGUGAGCACAUCUGUACAUGUGGAUGACAUAAAAGGAAUGAAUCAAAUUUCAUCUCUAUGCCUAGUUUGGGUAGCAUGUGACUCAUUUUCAUGACCCUAGAACUAAAACGUGGUAGUUAAAACAAUAACGUGAUAUUUAUAGGGUAAUUUUGAUCAAGCCUGUCAUAAUUUUCUUUCCUGGGUAAGUCUGUAUGUCCUUUGUUACAUUUCUAAUUACACUGACAGCUUUUCAGAAGGAGUGUUAGGGUAGAGGUUAUUUAAACAUAAAACCGAAGGUUUGACAUCAGUUAAGAAUGAAUGAUUUUUAUUUCCUAACAUAUAUUUUAAUGCAACAAAAACUUACUGGUUUAUUUUCCUCCCCAAAUACUUUCAUUAUUCUUAUUUUAUUGUGUAAUUUUUAAAAAAAUCAUCGAGGCAGAAGAAGAAUUGUGCUGGAGUCCCUUCUUCCUACCCAGGCACCCAGCAGCCUUAAUAUUAUUCCUCUGUUAAAAUAUGAAACAAUGGUGCAUUGUUCAUCUCACUCCUGGGUGGGCUCCUUCAUGAAGCCCUGUAGCUGCAGGCCUCUUUCCAGUUACAAAUUUAGUAGAGUUCCUCCAGUGACUUGGCUCUUUCCACAUCACUCCAGGGAUCCCUAUUAACUUAACACACUAAAAAUAACACUGCAGAAUUGCUGAACGGGUGAGGGAGACCAGCAGGGCCGAGGGAAGCUAAAUAUUGCUUGCAUUGAUCAGGAACUUGGGCCCUGCUCCCAUGACGCUUGCUUUUUGACACCGAAGCUCAUUAAGAACAUGUUUGUGCAUCUGCAGGCUUGAGAGACAGGGGAGUACAUCAGGCCCAGGGGUGGGAGUUGAGGAAGUGAGGAUGCUGUUGCCAGUCACAGAGGUCUUUUCCUAUCAACCUAGGGACUCGUUUCCUUCUGAAUUAAUGCAGCUUUUGUGUGAGCCUGGACUAGACUUGUCUUCCCUUCUGGCAAACGUUCUUAGGUGAGAAUAAAGCCAACUCUCACCUUGACUUUAAUUCCAAACUCAGUUGUAAACAUUUUUUUUUUGUACAGAGUAAUUGUCUCAUCAAAUAGUAGAUAUGAGCAUGUUUUACUUGUAUAAGGCUGAGUAGCCUGUAGAAAGAAUUCAGGUUCUGAAGUCUUAAGUUUAGCAUUUGAGUCCUCUGUCUACAUUAGCUGUGUUGCACUGAGCUACUUAUUGAAACUCCUCCAGCCUCAGAUUCCCUAUUUACAAAAUAAGCAUAUUAAUGGAAAUUAAUGCCUUUCUCACAGGAUGAUUGAGAAUUCAGAUGGGAUAGAAUUGAAAGUGUUUAGAUAAGUGUAAAAGCUGUAGUUAGUAUUCUCCAAAUAUCCACAGUAUUAAGUUGAGCCAAAUGAAAUGCCAAUAGUGAACCAAUUUUGUCCUACAAAAAUGGCAGUUUCAUGUGGUUCAACCAAAUAUAUUAAUAGGAGUUUUGGAAUGUCUUUCUCAUCUUACUUCUUUAAAUUAUCCCUGUGAGACAGAAAUAUUAUAAGCAACCUUAUUUUAGCACCUGGGGAAAUCAAAGUUUCAAAGGUUACUUGUACCAAGUUGAACAAAAUCUGUGAGUGAACCUGUUCUUCCAUUACUCAGUCUGUGGUUUCUUGCCCUUGCCCUGCACUUUAAGGGCAUAAACUGAAAAUGAGAAUCUAGAGAAAGAUUGUGACAAAACCACCUUCCCCAGGAGUUGAGCAGAGUGUAAUAAAGGAGGUCACAGCCUCUAUACCAUAUACUGACAUUAAGGAGUGGUUCUCCUGUUAAGCACGCUUUCUUGAGCUGGGGCUGGCUUUCCUGAAGUGAUGACUCUUUCAGGGGCUGAGUGAACCUCUGUGGGGCUGCUGCAUAUUAGUUCCUUCUGUUUAUUGUCCCUCAGAAUCACCAAUAUGUGCAAAUCAGUGCUGACCUGGAGAUCGGAGGAUCUAACUCCCCAGAGAUGGGACGUAGCUGGUCUACAUUGGAGUAUGUCCCCAUUCUGGGCUUGUCUUUGGCUCUGGCAGGUUUUCUCAACAUCAGCACUAUAGAUAUUUUGGGUCAGACAAUUCUUUGCUGUGGCAGUUGUCCUGUGCAUUGUAGGAUGUUUAGCAGCAUUCGUGGCUUCUACCCACUAGAUGCCAGUAGCAUGCUCUCCAUUGUAACAACCCAAUAUGUCUCUAGACAUUGUUAAAUGUCCACCAGAGGGGCAAAAUCUCUGCUAGUUGAGAACCGCUGGGCCCAGGAGACCUCAGAGUGGGAGAGUGAGGGGCUGAGCUGGGCUGGACUAAUGGUGACGUAUUUCAAGACAUUUACCAACUUGUCUGAUGAGGUUCAAUGCACCUAAGAGAAUUGCAUUUCCUUUUCUCCUACCUUCUCAUGAAAAGUGGUGCGAUUAGAUAAGAGAUGAGUCAUAUUUGGGGAUAUUGUUAGUUGCAGAUGAGUAGGAAGAGAGGUAUGGAGUUGCCUAGGCCCUUAGAUAGGAAGAAAAGAAGUCUAACUGAGGACCAGGUUCUCUCAAUUUCCUGGCAAAAACAUCUGUCUUCUUGUUUUUCUAGUUAAUUAUGGAUUUUCAUGAGCUCACCCAGCUAAUCAAGUUUAAUGACACUAGACCCAAAUCACAUUAUUGUUAUUUUUCAAGGCUGUGUUGGAACUGUGCCGCAUUAACCUGCCAGCAGCCUGGAGACAACUGUAGCCACUCAAACACUGGAGAAGCAAUGCUUUUAUUAGCAGCACAAACAGCCCUUUCAUAACAUGUCACCACUGAGAUUAUGAAGACAGAAUAAAAGCAGCAGAAAAAGGGAAUUUUCCAUAAAGAACACUUUAGGAGCUUUAUUACAAAGCAGAAACUUUAUUGCAGGAUGGGCAAGGAGACAUGUGUCCUAUAUUUACUACCAUUUCCAAUAUAAAUUUGGUUUGGAGAGACAGAGAAAAAGAUACAUAUAAAGUUGAUAUUGCUCCUUCAUUUCCAUGUCACUGAUGACAGCUUGAACAAGGAUUUCCCAAAAGGCUGUGAGCCACCUUUGUGGGUCACAUGCUGUUUGUGACUCUGUUCAUACCCUCUUUCCUUGUCCUCAGGAAUUCCUGGUGUAGAAUGGACAUAGCUGCCAGUCUUGCAAUAGCCUCUGGACCCCACUUUCACCUCAGAUAAAUAAAAAAAUAUUGUGUAUUCAGCAAAAAGUUGGGUUCUUUGCCAUUGGACUUUAUAUAGCCUGGGGAAAAAUUAAUCACAUUUUUCCAUUUAGCAUUUCAUUUGGUCUGGAUAUCAAACCAACAGGUUUUUUUCUUUCUUUUCUUUUUUUUUUUGGUUGGGGGAAUAUUUUAAAAAGUAAUGAAAAGAAUUUCCUCAAUUCUGCUGCUGAAGUGUCCUCUGUUAGAUCUUUGCACUGCUUUCAACACUUCAAAUCCAUAUCCACAUUUCAUAAUUCAAUCACUCUCUUCUGAGGGGCAGUCUAUAAUUCACUUCUGGGCCUCUACUGUUACUUUGUAGACUCUUACACCUAACAAACGAAUCAGAAGGUAUUCUUUUCUUUACAAGUGAGAGACUUCUACUUGUUAGUACACCAUGUCACAAAGAUUUGCAUGAGAUUCCCGAAUCUCAUUAUGAAAAGGCCAGGUUAUUUGGGCACACAUAAAAGCAAUGGGAUAGACUGCUUGAGUUUUGGAGUCAGAUUGGUCUGGAUUUGAAUCCUGGGCCCAUCACUUGUUAGCCUUGUGACACUGGGCAAGUUACUUUGCCUUUUAAAGCUUUAGUUUCCUUAUCUGUAAAAUUGAUGUGAUAACAACAACAACAACAACAACAACAACAACAGUUAGAUCAUAAUAUGUUUGUGAGGAUAGAGUGAGAGGUGCAUGUAAACUGUGAAGCAGAAUGCCUAGACAUAGUAAGUGCUCAUUUGGUGUUAGGAAAUGAGGGUGUAAUUAUUUCCAAGAUGGGAUUAGUCCUGUGACAUUUGCCUAAUUUAGUAAAUUAGGCUGCCCUCCUCAAUUAGUUUCUUACUAUAACUAUUAAGAUCUCUUUGUCAAAUCACAGUUCGCAGGUCUGCUUGAAUAUAUUUUAGGAUAUUUAAUGGCCAGAAGACUUCCCACAGUAACUUUGUUGCUCAAUUCUUAGGAAAGCAGAAGAGGAUUAUAAAUAACAAGCAAUAAAGACAGCAAAUGUAUGCUCCAAAAGUGAGGAAAAAUCAGUCCUAGGGGAAGUCCUCUGAACUUUAUUGCAAAAGAUAGGAAAGAGACAAUUGGAAAUGUGGGAAUAAUCAUAGCGCUUAAAAAAAAUCAUUGUUACUGCAGAACUAAUUGGAGUUCAUUGUGGUAAAGAAACAUUUCUGGUUGUAUUUAUUUAAAGAUGGUGAGCAGAAUCGAGGAGGAAGAGAAGGUAUUUUUAAUAAGGAAUCAAGGUACUGAAAAUUCUGGAACUAACAAAACAAACUAAAAAUAAGACUCAAACAGGUAGGAUUCACUCAUGCAGGGAGAUUCUACAGUGACGGCUUAAGGAUCAAAAUAAACAGAUUAGGGAACUCAAAAUUGGGAAAAUAAAGCAAGAGCCUUUUAGGGAGGUCCUUGGACCACUUUCCCCCUCUACUAUCCUAGAUUACAGCCAUGUUCUGCCACCAAUGAAGUCACUGCGAAAUUUCCGGUGUUCAGUGAAGUUUCAGGUCUCAUUGAGUUAUUGUUUGAGAGGCAACAGACAGAAGAGGUGGUGGCUAAAUAGAGGUUACCUGGAGGUUGCUAGAAUGAUUCUUUACUGCCUUGGGGUGGGGUAUUGGGAUGAGGUGGAGGUGUGUGUAGUUGAGGGAGCAGAAGAUGGAAUGGGGUUAAGGGAAGGAAAUUUUAAGUACCUCUUAUGUUCUAAUGGCUUUUACAUAGACUUGCUUAUAUAAUCCCAUAACAAUCCCAAAGAGAUGAUGGUACUAUCCUUAUUUUGCAGGUGAGAUUGACGUUUUGAGAGGUCUAGCAAUUUACCAGAGGUUACUUAGCUAGUAAGUGAUGGAGCAGAGAUUGGAACCCAGGUCUGUCUGACUUCAAAGCCCAUGAAAAACAGAGUCCUUGUAAGUUUUUUUCUCUUCCCCCUCAAGGGAAAACUAUUGAAAAGAAAUAAAUAUAUUAGGAAGGGAUGUUUGUUGGAGCUGGGAGCUGUGCAGCCUGAGGGUCAGGAGGUGGGAUGCCAGCACUCCUUUAGCUGCCCCAGCUGGUGUCUCUGUAUGUUGCAUGCCCUCUGAGUACACUGUCUCUGGGCCUAGUUCAGUUUUUCUGGGUCUGGGUCAUCAACUCCAGCAAUCAUGGCAGAAGCAUUUAUGAAAUGAAGAUAUUGAAAGAUGGAAUCAUGGUAGAUGUAAUGACAGGUUUUGAAAAAUGGGAAAGAUAUUGAAAACUGAAAAUGGAUAUCUGUUGGAAGAGAUUUUAAUUUUCUGGUAAAAUAAUGGAGUAAGUACCAGGAGAAAAGAAAUCUGUAGUCGGACGAUAAUACAGAGGAUAAUAGAAUCAUGAGCAAUAAACAGUUCAGGUCUGUAAACAAAGCAUCAUGCCAAAAAACCCCCCGAUAGCUUCCCACUGAUGGAAUUAUAGAAUUGGUGGAUGAAAGGAAAAAAUAAAUUUAAUAUAUUUGGAUUUUUGGUAACACACAAGAUAGAGGUGGAGAAAAACCAGAAUAAUUGAAUAUAACAGUAUAGCAAAGUAUUUGACACUAGGUUGGAUUGGAUUUUUCUUUGAAAAAGUUACUUUAGUUAGACUAGAUGUUGCUAGAAUUGCUAUUUUGAUUGAAGGUGGCUAUUUCAACAGAUAUUGAAUAUGAUAAAUGAUCAUGAUAUUUAAAAACAAACUAAGCCCCCAAACAAACAAAACUACAUUGGGAAUAUUGCAAACUAAAAAGAAAACAUUCUCUUUUUGGUUUAACCCCAGAUGGAUUGUUUCCUGCUUAAAGGGUCUCUUAUGAAAGACACCUUUGUUUUUUGACUUUGCUCCUGUGAUGAUAUGAUAAUGCGUCCCUGUCCCCUUUGCUUGGGAAUCAUUAAAAGGUUCUACUGGUCCACUAAGAAUCCCACAGGAAGAGAUUCAUAGAGGCCUUGGAUGGUGCAGUUACAGCUCAGACUGCAGUCUUUUUUUUUUUUUUUU
rnacentral:lncRNA from 1 species